rnacentral:lncRNA from 1 species
UUUCUUUUUCUGUUUGUUUUGUUUUUUCUUUUAUUUAUUCUUUUAUGUUUUCAUUUAUAGUCUCUUUUAUUUUAGUUUUAUGAAAUACCAAGUUAGCACCUAAAUUAGUAUCAACAAUAUAGGCCACUGCCAAACCUAGUUUGUAUUCAAAAUAUAAUUAGUGUAAUACUUUCAUAAUUUCAAAAGCAAUUACAUUAUUAUUUUAGCCACUAUUUUUAAUUAGUCUAGGGCAGUCAAACAUUUUACAAAAAGGUUGUUUCUCCACUAAUAUUACUUACGCAUUAUUUAUCACAUCCAGAACAUUUUGGUUUUAACAUUUGAAAACUUUUAUUGUUUAACUUGAAUUUGAAUUUUGAAUCCAAACGGGAUUGAAUCAUCGCGAGAUUAACAACGGUAAUCGUGGUGACGUGGCAUUGUUAGCAGAGAUUACUGUGGCUUAAUUAUCCGGGCGUCACAAUUCUCCUCCGCUACAAGAAAUCUCGUCCCGAGAUUUUAAGAGGUGGAGUAAGGGGGAAAGAUCUGGUUACAAAAUUCUAACGAAUCUUCUCGAUCUUGGUUGCUCUUCUCAAAGUGGUCGAUCCAUUACAAUGAUGUCUUUAUUUCUCUACUUCGGGUCAUUAUGAUGAAAUCAGCAUACUUUCUUUGAGAACUCCAUCGUACUUACGAGAGAAUAAAGGGUGGGUAUUCCGGGAGAACGGACCUCUGCAAGGUUGACUAUCUGGUCGUUAACAUCGAGGAAGGUUGCGGAAAGUAACUCUCGAAUAGAAACUUAAGAAAAUAUCGAGAGCAAAGUAAGCAGGUAUCAUGGGAAGUUUCGAGCGGGUAGGCAAUCGCUCGAUGCCGGAAUCAGGGCGUGAAAGGGGUGCAAAGCAACGCGAAUAAGUAUUGUGUUUGAUACCAGUAUUGAUGAUCUCUCGGAAGGUGGCUCAUUAAUUAUGUACGAGGCCACGCGCGAGGAACAACCUUGGAAAUAGGGGGUACAGGAAAGUCAGGCUUCAAUCCUAUGGAAUUGUGGGUUAUGGGCCCACCAUGUGGGUUAAAAGUAGAAAGGGCGGUGACAUCUUGCACGAUCAUGAAAGCAAGGCAUACCAGAGGAUAGUCUGCCAGUUAUGUCGGCAACAACAUCGGUACCAAGGGCGAGGGACGAAGAGAACCAUCUUCCUGUUGGGGAACGUAGUAAUUUCAAAAAAAUUCCUACGCACACGCAAGAUCAUGGUGAUCCAUAGCAACGAGAGGGGAGAGUGUUGUCCACGUACCCUCGUAGACCGACAGCGGAAGCGUUAUCACAACGCGGUUGAUGUAGUCGUACGUCUUCACGAUCCGACCGAUCAAGUACCGAACGCACGGCACCUCCGAGUUCUACACACGUUCAGCUCGAUGACGUCCCUCGAACUCCGAUCCAGCCGAGUGUUGAGGGAGAGUUUCGUCUGCACGACGGCGUGGUGACGAUGAUGAUGUUCCACCGACGCAGGGCUUCGCCUAAGCUCCGCAACGGUAUUAUCGAGGUGUAAUAUGGUGCAGGGGGGCACCGCACACGGCUAAGAGAUCUCAAGGAUCAAUUGUUGUGUCUAUGGGGUGCCCCCUGCCCCCGUAUAUAAAGGAGCAAGGGAGAGGCAGCCGGCCAAGGGGAGAGGCGCGCCAAAGGGGGGAGUCCUACUCCCACCGGGAGUAGGACUCCUCCUUUCCUUGUUGGAAUAGGAGAAGGGAAGGGAGAAGGAGAAAGAAGGAAGGGGGCGCCCCCCUUCCCUAGUCCAAUUCGGACCAGACCAUAGGGAGGGGCGCGGCCACCUUUUGAGGCCUUUCUCUCCUUUCCCGUAUGGCCCAUUAAGGCCCAAUACGAAUUCCCGUAAUUCUCCGGUACUCCGAAAAAUGCCCGAAUCACUCGGAACCUUUCCGAUGUCCGAAUAUAGUCGUCCAAUAUAUCGAUCCUUACGUCUCGACCAUUUCGAGACUCCUCGUCAUGUCCCCGAUCUCAUCCGGGACUCCGAACUCCUUCGGUACAUCAACAUACAUAAACUCAUAAUAAAACUGUCAUCGUAACGUUAAGCGUGCGGACCCUACGGGUUCGAGAACUAUGUAGACAUGACCGAGACACCUCUCCGGUCAAUAACCAAUAGCAGAACCUGGAUGCUCAUAUUGGUUCCCACAUAUUCUACGAAGAUCUUUUUCGGUCAGACCGCAUAACAACAUACGUUGUUCCCUUUGUCAUCGGUAUGUUACUUGCCCGAGAUUCGAUCGUCGGUAUCUCGAUACCUAGUUCAAUCUCGUUACCGGCAAGUCUCUUUACUCGUUCCGUAAUACAUCAUCCCGCAACUAACUCAUUAGUCACAAUGCUUGCAAGGCUUAUAGUGAUGUGCAUUACCGAGUGGGGCCCAGAGAUACCUCUCCGACAAUCGGAGUGACAAAUCCUAAUCUCGAAAUACGCCAACCCAACAAGUACCUUUGGAGACACCUGUAGAGCACCUUUAUAAUCACCCAUUUACGUUGUGACGUUUGGUAGCACACAAAGUGUUCCUCCGGUAAACGGGAGUUGCAUAAUCUCAUAGUCAUAGGAACAUGUAUAAGUCAUGAAGAAAGCAAUAGCAACAUACUAAACGAUCGAGUGCUAAGCUAACGGAAUGGGUCAAGUCAAUCAAGUCAUUCUCCUAAUGAGGUGAUCCCGUUAAUCAAAUGACAACUCAUGUCUAUGGCUAGGAAACAUAACCAUCUUUGAUUAACGAGCUAGUCAAGUAGAGGCAUACUAGUGACACUCUGUUUGUCUAUGUAUUCACACAUGUAUUAUGUUUCCGGUUAAUACAAUUCUAGCAUGAAUAAUAAACAUUUAUCAUGAUAUAAGGAAAUAUAUAAUACUUUAUUAUUGCCUCUAGGGCAUAUUUCCUUCACUUCCUGCUCGUUGAACGAGGCGGACCAAUAGGCAAAGUUCUCGUCCAUCGGUGGUUACUAGAAUGUCAUCAACAAUAGUAACAGGGUCUUACUGACAGAGUUGUACAUCGAGGUGUUUACAUAAGCAGUAAAUUAUUACUGCUUAGAUCAUAUAGAUCACAAGAAAGAUUAAGCAAAACAAUGGAAAGGAAAAUAUGAUUAUCAGAUCAAACAGAACAAUGGAAAGGAAAAUGAGGGUAUAUCCUUCCCAAGGGCAAGCAAAGCAUGAUAUCCAUGACAGGAUAUAAUGUAGAAAACUCUUUGGGUAAGGGGAGAGAAAUUUCAAGACAUUACCCAUACAACCGCGUUUGGAUAAUUGAGCAGGAAACAUUUAGCAUUGGGCUACAAAUGUUUUUGUUGAAAAUCGGAGUACCAUAGACGUGCUUCGAGAUAGCAUUGACAUGGUCACUGGGUAAAGAUCAGACUUUGGAUACACAAAGGAUCCAUCGGGGACAACUUGUAGAAUAAGUCUUACAAUUUCAUCAUGGAAGAAUGGAUAUCCUUGCUAAAAAGGACAUUAUAGCGAUAGGUCCUCCGGUCAGGUGUGCUAGGCACGAUAUCACCUUACCGGGUCAUAUAAAGACCAAUGAUAUAACUCUUGGAAAUAUGUUCCAACCAUUAUAUCUGACCGAGGUUCAGAUUUGAUUGGUGUCAGGAUACCUCAGACUCAGGAUGCCUGAGAAGAAAAGGUGCAACACAAAUUGACGACAUGUCAUUGUAAGAUUCUCGGGAAAUGAACUAGGGAAGCGAGUUUCAAAACAAGAGUUCAUCAUUUAACCAAGGAGAGGACGAGGAGGUGGCUGAUGUACUCGGUGACGAUUCAUUGAGAUUUUCAAAAGAUGGAUUUCGACACUUAUGUGAACAAGGAGAUAACAUUUGUCAGAUCAAAUGAUAUAAUGAGGUAUUCUCGGGGAAAACAUACAUAGUUAAAAAUUGGUUGAAAGGUGCACCCGAAUUAUGGGCUUGGGUAGCAUGAUCAAUGUUAGAAUGGUGAUUCGAUAACCAAUGGUCUAAAAUGAAAUAUCGACCAUUUACUUCAAAGCAAUAGGGUUGCUAGAAGUUUUGAGGUCGCACAUCAUAGUUCAAUUGUCGGUUUUCCGGUUAGAAACAACACGGGGACCAAGGAAUGAACGGAUAUGGCAAGAAGUAUCACCUGUAUCAAGAAUUCUUAAGAGGUGGUGAAAUUUUUGUGACAAACUUGACAUAAAAGAUGGUAAUACUUCAAGAUAGAACAUAAUACAAGCCGGAUAACAAGUCGCAUCCACAACAUGAUCAAUGUUGUGAUGAAAGGAAGAUAAGGAUGUUGUUGAUGGUAACUCAAAUUACCAAGGGACGAGGAUGAUACUUAUCAUCAUCAAUUCGAUUAAUAUCCUGGAAGGAGUCAAGAUGUUAAUGAUGAUCAUGGCAAUUUUUCUCGACAAGCUCCACGAAGAAGCAAUCGAAUAGCGACUGCAUCAGGCAAAAGGACUGAUGCAGCGAAAGGUUAUUGGAUCCAAGGAUACGACACCAACUCGAAAUCAAGCUUGCUGUUCAAGGCGAAAUGAUAUGAUGAGGAAAAUCGACAUAAGCUUAGCUCAUCGUCAAAAAUUGUGCUCAGGGAAGAAGGACCAGGUUGCAUAGUUAAAAUUAGCAUGAUAAUGAUGCAGCCGAUCAGGCUAGGAAUGACGUGAUGGGGUAUUAAAAUUCUCAACAACAAAGUACUGGGAGUACUGAAUCUCAGUGUUGAUUUGAUUCACAACCCGUGUUUUCGGUUGACGACAACCCAGAACCCGUGGAGUGACUAUGACGGGGAAAGGUAUUAAUUAAUCAGAAAUUCAUAAGAGGAAGUGCAAUGGGUUGAUAUCCUUGAGAUAUCAGGGGGUAAUACUCGAAGGUAGAGUAGAAUAGAUGCUUGACAGGUGAAAUGAGGUGCAGAAGACAAGAAAUUUAACUUGUCCGAGAAAUGGGAUCAAAGAAGAACAAUAUGGCCAGAACCACGAUUGUUAAAGAUCAAAUCCCAGAUAUAGGAUGAACUUAUACCAAGGGGAUAAUUAAUUUAAGAGAAUCUUCCAUGAUAAGAUCUACAUCGUGUCCAUGGGCAUGAACACAAAGUUCAAGGUCGACUCCCACUUCUUCAAUGCAUAACCUUUCAUUCACUACUCUAAAAAAAUGAUUUGAGUGCAAAGACCUACCUGGUGAAUUACCAGAGGAGUAUGAACCUUAGACAACUUUCGGGUUCACACAGAUUAUGAAAGGCAUUGGUUCAACCCAUCGGGGCAUCUUAGGAACAAAUACCACAAAUUUCAAGAAUAAAUAACACAAACUCGAUAGUAGAGCUUGCUUGAGAAAGUAGUGGAUACAAUUUACCAAAGGCAUUAUGUAUCCGAGGAAAGGCUCACAAGCUUAUUGAAUAUGAAGGACGUUGUCGGAUAAAAUCCGACAAAGGGUCUGGUGGUCCACAAGGGAUCUGAUGUGAGCAUCGGUACACAACCAGAGGAAGAAAGAAUGCAAGGAGAUCCGAUUAGAGAACAACUGACUAAUUCAGAGCUGAAAUGUAAAGGAAUUAAGAUUUUCCAAAUCAAGGGAUCAAAAGCAAACACUCUGAUUAAGGAUGGACAAGCUUAAUAGACUUAGGGGUACAACCGACGGCAAUUGAUUGGUCGAGAACCAGUUGAUGUUCAAAAAUGACGUCUGAGCCGGAAGGAUGAAUUUUAAUUGCGACUGAUGAUUGCGAGCAUGUGCAUCAUAUUGAAUCGAUGGACUCAAUAUGAUAGUGACAAAGGAUGCCAAUAAGAUUACUAGACUUAUGGGAUUAACCAUAAUGCGAGCAAGCAAGAAUUUCAAGAGCAAUAGGCUGCUCAUGAUUUUCGGAAGAUCGGGUGCUAUUUCAAUGUAUCUUGUGAAUCAUAUGAACAACAGGGGGAAAACGGAUACUCGUUAAGUGCGAGAAGAUAUCCGCAAGGGGUAUUCAUGAGGCAAGAACUAUAAAGCAGUAAGCUCAAAGGAUUCUUGGAACAACGGAGAGCGGUUCGGGGCAUCUGCUAUUAACAAGAGCAACUGGGGACUAAUGUAAGAAUGGCAAGUGCAUGUAGUUUUCUAGAGGGGUUGACGGUGGAAGGGAAUUGCAAACGCAAUGAGCACAAGUUCUCGGGAUAACAUCGGAGAGUAUCUUCGGAAUCCUUCGGCGCACCAAGCAAUCAUCUGAAGUGAGGGGCUCUCCGGAGGAAGUAAUUACGAGAACCUAGACUUUAGAUUUAGUAAAAUCAUUUAACCCGAAUAGAAGAGAGAUCAGAGUCCCAGAGUAUAGACGAGGAAUAAAAGGUCCUACUACCACCCAAAUGGCGACGUGGGCCCGUAAGACACACAGCCAUGUUAGUAAAAGUUUUGUAAUGACUAGACUCGACUUCGGCCGAGUAUGGAAGGGGGAUUCCUACAGGCAGUCGGCUCUGAUAACAACUUGUGAUGCCCCCAAUUCAAUCAUACACUAAUCAUACACGUUCAAGAUCAGGGACUCACGGGAAGAUAUCACAACACAACUCUAAAAAUAAAAUAAGUCAUACAAGCAUCAUAAUACAAGCCAGGGGCCUCGAGGGCUCGAAUACAAGUGGUCGAUCAUAGACGAGUCAGCGGAAGCAACAAUAUCUAAGUACACACAUAAGUUAAACAAGUUGCCAUAAUAUGGCUAGCACAAACUGGGAUACAGAUCGAAAGAGGCGCAGCCCUCCUGCCUGGGAUCCUCCUAAACUACUCAUGGUCGUCGUCAGCGGCCUGAACAUAGUAGUAGGCACCUCCAGUGUAGUAGGAGUCGUCGUCGACAGUUGCGUCUGGCUCCUGGGCUCCGGCAUCUGGUUGCGACAACCAGGUAGAAGGGAAAGGGGGAAAAGAGGCAGAAAAGCAACCGUGAGUACUCAUCCAAAGUACUCGCAAGCAAGGAGCUACACUACAUAUGCAUGGGUAUAUGUGUAAAGGACCAUAUAGGUGGACUGAACUGCAAAAUGCCAGAAUAAGAGGGGGAUAGCUAAUCCUGUCGAAGACUACGCUUCUGGCCACCUCCAUCUUGCAGCAUGUAGAAGAGGGUAGAUGGUAAGUUCACCAAGUAGCAUCGCAUAGCAUAAUCCUAUCCGGUGAUCCCCUCCUCGUCGCCCUGUUAGAGAGCGAUCACCGGGUUGUACUGGCACUUGGAAGGGUGUGUUUUAUUAAGUAUCUGGUUCUAGUUGUCAUAAGGUCAAGGUACAACUCCAAGUCGUCCUGUUACCGAAGAUCACGGCUAUUCGAAUAGAUAAACUUCCCUGCAGAGGUGCACCACAUAACCCAACACGCUUGAUCCCAUUUGGCCGGACACACUUUCCUGGGUCAUGCCCGGCCUCGGAAGAUCAACACAUCGCAGCCCCACCUAGGCACAACAGAGAGGUCAGCACGCCGGUCUAAAUCCUAUGGCGCAGGGGUCUGGGCCCAUCGCCCAUUGCACACCCGCACGUUGCGAACGCGGCCGGAAGCAGACCUAGCCCCCUUAAUACAAGUGCGAGCUUACGGUCCAAUGCGGCGCGCGCUGCUCAGUCGCUGACGUCACGAAGGCUUCGGCUGAUACCACUACGUCGAGUGCCCAUAACUUCCCCACGUAGUUGGUUAGUGCGUAUAGACCAAAUGGCCAGACUCAGAUCAAAUACCAAGAACUCGUUAAGCGUGUUAUUUUGAAGUAACCGCGGACGCCGACCAGGGCCAGGCCCACCUCUCACCUAGGUAGUCUCAACCUGCCCUGUCGCUCCGCCAUGAAGAUCCACACAUAGGGCCGUUGGGACAAAGAUCCUUUCAGCCCCUAAUCGGUGAAUCACUCGCUGGUGCUCCACGAGCCGACCCAACUUUAGUCACCACAUGAAUCAUGUAUAAAGUAUAUAGUAUAAACCCGUGAUCACCUCCCGAGUGAUCACGGCCCGAUAGUAUAGCAUGGCAGACGGACAAGAAUGUAGGGCCACUGAUGGAAUACUAGCAUCCUAUACUAAGCAUUUAGGAUUGCAGGUACAGGUAACAACUGUAGUAGCAAGGACAGGCUAUGCAUCAGGAUAGGAUAAACGGAAAGCAGUAACAGGCUACACUACUCUAAUGCAAGCAGUAUAGAGAAGAAUAGGCGAUAUCUGGUGAUCAAGGGGGGCCUGCCUGGAAGCUCAGCCGAGAAGGAGGGGUUGUCAACACCGUAGUCGAACUGGGUAGCAGCGGCGUCGGUCUCGGUGUCUAGCGAGAGAAGACGGAGGAGAAACAAUAAAUACAAUGCAAACAAAUUCAUGAAGAUGCAUGACAUGACAAAGUGUGAUGCUAGGUGUGCACAAUCGCGGUAGUAAGUGAUACCGGCGAAGGGGGGAAACAUCCGGGAAAGUAUUCUCGGUGUUCCGCGUUUUCGGACAUAUGAACCGGAGGAGGAAAGUUGUGAGUUCGAUAGGUUAGGGAUGUGUGGCGGACGAACGGGCUGCAUAUCCUGAUUCGUCUCGUCGUUCUGAGCAACUUUCAUGUACAAAACUUUUUCAUCCGAGCUACGGUUUAUUUUAUAUGAUUUUCUAAAGUUUUAAAUCAUUUUUGGAAUUUAUUUAAUUAAUUUAAUUCAACAUUAUCCAGAAUAGUGCAUGCUGAUGUCAGCAUGAUGUCAGCAGUCAACAGGGGUGUUAACUGGUCAAACUGACGUGUGGGUCCCGUUCAUCAUUGACUAGACUAACUAAUCAUGAUUAAUUAGUUUAAUUAGUUGUUUAGUUUAAUUAAUCAAAAUUAAUUAAGUUAAUUAAUUCUUUAAUUAUUUAAUUAAUUAACUAAUUAAAUUAUUAUUCAUUUAUUUUAUUAUUAUUAUUUUUAAUUUCCUUUUUUUAAAAUGUUCUGGGCUGGGCCCCGACAGUCAAUGGGCCAAAGGCCAUAGCGGGUUCGGGCGUUGCGGCCGAACAGGCACCACAGGCGCUAGGACCCGGUUGGGCGAGGGAGGCCGCUCGAGGGGGCGAGCAGGGGUGGCGCGCCCGAGCGCGCGCGGCGGCGUGCCGAGCGGGGCGAGCCGUGGGCCAUGAGAGGCCGUGGUGGGGCGCCAUCGACGCGGUUGCGGGCGUACCCAUGUGAGGCCAAGCCCGUUCACGUGCGGCGCUUGGCUACAGAGUAGAGCGGUAAGCGGGAGCCGGCGAGGACGGCGGAGAGCAGCGAGUCUAGAGGCCGGUGACUGGGUAGGUGGCAGACGGCGUGGCAGCGUUGGCGGCCGCAGGAGGCUGCUAGAGAGGGCGAUGAGGAGGGGUGCGGCCAUGGGAGGGAUGGCACGCGCAAGCGCUUGAGCGCGGCAGGCGCGGCGAGCUGCGAGCUGUGGAGAGGUGCGGGCGAGCGCGCUGGACGGCGGUUGCAGCAGCGGGGAGGUGGCUGGCUGGAGCGGGGAGGGCAUGGCCCGAGGCGGAGGCCUCAGCAGUGAGCGAAGGGCGCGGGGGCCGGCGGGGAUGCGGCCGCGCAGAGCGCGUGGUCGGGUUGGUGGCGGGGCGAGCUAGCGGAGAGGGGAAGAGGAGGCCGAGGGCCUCACCGUACAGUGUAGGGACAAUGGGAGCGGGGCUCGGGGAGGAGGUCGGGGACGACGGCGGCGACGGAGAGGACGGCGACGAGGUUUCCGGGCGUGGCGGUGCUCCGGCGAUGGCGGGGUCCAGCUGCGUCGGAGGCGGUGACGGUGAGCGCCGGCGACGCGGUUGGGGCGCUGUGCCCAAACCAGUUCAGGCAAAGGGGGCGAGGAGCGAGGGGAGUGGGGGUUUUCGCCCCGAUCCAGAUUGGAUCGGGAGGGAGGAGAGGAAGUGGCGACGUGGGGGGAAGUGGGAGCGGUAGUGGCUAGGGUUUCGGGGCAGGGGGUUAUGGAGUGAGGGGGGAGUGGCCGGCUGGGCCUGGUGGGUUGGCCCAGUGGGGCUGAUGGCUUGCUGGGCCGGAGCCCGGGGGGUUCCUUUUCUUUUUCCGUUUUUUUAUUCUUUUCUGUUUUCAUUUAUAGUCUCUUUUAUUUUAGUUUUAUGAAAUACCAAGUUAGCACCUAAAUUAGUAUCAACAAUAUAGGCCACUGCCAAACCUAGUUUGUAGUCAAAAUAUAAUUAGUUUAAUACUUUCAUAAUUUCAAAAGCAAUUAAAUUAUUAUUUUAGCCACUAUUUUUAAUUAGUCUAGGGCAGUCAAACAUUUUACAAAAAGGUUGUUUCUCCACCAAUAUUACUUACACAUUAUUUAUCACAUCCAGAACAUUUUGGUCUUAACAUUUGAAAACUUUUAUUGUUUAACUUGAAUUUGAAUUUUGAAUCCAAAUAGGAUUGAAUCAUCGCAAGAUUAACAACGGUAAUCGUGGUGACGUGGCAUUGUUAGCAGAGAUUACUGUGGCUUAAUUAUCCGGGCGUCACAACACGCGAUGGAUAUGAGGAGGAAAUGACGAUACUCGUGGAGAAGAAUGACGACCUGACAAGGAAGCUAGGAGUUUUCAUGGGAGACCCCGCGCCAGGAGGAGAGGACGACGAUUCCACUUGCCCGGAGAACUACAUCAUCAUCGACGACACCGACUCCGACCCUGACGGUAGUGAUGAUGAUUAUGAAGACGAAGCUGGACCGGAUAUCAUGGAGUCUUCCACCGAUCAAAAUUUCUAGAUGACCACCAUAUGACUAGUAGUAUUCCCCCUGUAUAUAGUAGUAGUCUGAGCACUUUUAACGAUAGUUCUAGACCGAUUGUAUGCCCUUG